rnacentral:rRNA from 1 species
CUAGCCGUAAACGAUGGACACUAGAUGUUGCCCGUAUCGACCCGGGCAGUGUCGUAGCUAACGCGUUAAGUGUCCCGCCUGGGGAGUACGCACGCAAGUGUGAAACUCAAAGGAAUUGACGGGGGCCCGCACAAGCGGUGGAGCAUGUGGUUUAAUUCGAUGCAACGCGAAGAACCUUACCAGGGCUUGACAUGCCGCGAAUCCUUGUGAAAGCAGGGAGUGCCUUCGGGAGCGCGGACACAGGUGG